ensembl:lncRNA
GUCCCAGGCUUGGUUGCCAUAGUGAUAGCGGCAUGUGUCCUGAACCUCAAUCGGGGUGCUGGUCAUCUCCUUGGUAACCGUUAUCUUCCUGGCCUGGUAUUGGAUGACGAAACACUAUGGCGACUGGGUGUGGAAGAAGCUCUCUCCUAUCAAAGACCGAAACUGGUUCUUGAUCAGAUGCGCGUAGUGUACGUGUCACUGCUGGUGUCCAUGUCUUUUGUUGGUUUGCUGCUCUUCAUCUUCCUAAUGCAGAUAUUCUCCAAAUAGGUAGAGGAUGCACACCUACGCACACACACACACACACACACACACGCACACACACACACACACACACACACACACACACACACACACACACACACACGCGCACACACACACACAUACAGACACACUGCUGGUUCAUGUAUUGGACACAUGUUUUGCAGUGGUGUGGUCAAACUUGCAGUGCAGGAUUGGGCUACAGUUUGUCUUUGGUCUGCCGAUCCUCAGGACCAUUUUUGGCUUCGUUGGAAUUGAAUGGCUCGGAAAAAAAGUAGAGAUUGGUCUCGGAUGCAGGUUACCAUGGCAACAUCUCCAGCCGAAUCGAUGGCUGCUGCUGGAAAUGUAUUCUUGGAACAGACAGUGUCACCUCUCCUUAUUCGUCCAUGCAUCAGUGGACUAACUUGCUCUGAGAUCCCUGCUGUGAUGACAGCAGGUUUUGCCAGCGUCUCUGGUGUUUUGGGAGCCUUUAUCUUCUUUUUCUGUAAAUAUUUACUUUGAGAAGGAGUUAAUAAUCAGCUUUAUUUGAUUAUCUAAUAUACAAGCUUUGCCAAGGUAACACAACUGUGUUAAAUAAUGUAAUGAUUAAUCACCUUACUGUGAGACCCCCAAAUAAUAUUUAGAGGGAUGAUGUCUUACUCAACAGCAGCUCACCUACAGAUAUCCCCAGUUAUUCUCAGUAAUGUAUUGUAUUUAACGGGAAAGUCCAUAAAUAAAUACAACAUGUUUAGCAGUGAAUAAAACAUGAAUAUAUUUAAAAAGGUUGUCAGAGUAGAUUGAAAAGCAUGGCACUAACCAUGAGAAAUACUUAAUAACAAGUAUGUAUAACUUUAUAUACAUGUAUGACAAACACCAAAAUGAGCUGCUUUGAUCGUAGUUCCUCACAGUAAAGGGAUUGCAGGUUGUAGCUAAAAAUACUAAUGCUUACAUAUCUAUAUACGUGUAAAUAUAUAUAUACACGUAUAUAGAUAUGUAUUUAUAUAUAUAUAUAUAUAUAUAUAUAUAUAUAAAAA